UGUUGGGAUGAGCCCUGGGCGUUGUGUGUAAGUGAUGAAUCACAAGAACCUACCCCCAAACCAAGAGCACACUGUAUACCUGAGCCGAAGUCCGACGCUUAACCGAAUGAGCCACCAGGCACCCCCACGGCACCCUUACUGAAAACCAAUUGAAUAGUCUCAAACAGGGACUCUUUUGAGUUCCCCAGAUGUGCCCUGAGCAGUGAAGAAAGACCCAUUACCAUCACUUCCCUCAGCUAGAUAUUCUACCCCUAUUAACGUGACGUGAGACGGCAUCAGCUUUUCCCCAGCCACAGACGCGAGCAACACUCUGAUAAACGGUGGGAAACUGUUGCAUUCUGAGGUCGGGAUUCCCACUGUCGAAGUGAAGGGAAAUAACAGACCUACGAGAUGAGCAGCGGUUGUGACAAACGCCGUAUUCGUCAGGAGAACAGGUUCCGCGGCCUCUUGAGAAAAAUGAGCAGGCCGAACCGGACCUGGGACGGCAAGUAGGUUGAACGUGCACGCGGCCGGUAGCCGCUGCUUAGACUGAUGUUGAAGGCUCCGCAGGAAAAGAAGGCUAGGACACAGCGUGCUGUGUGCCACGGGCUCCGUCUGGCUCUGUCAUGCACCGACAUGGACCCGACCAGGGACUAAGGCUCUUUCCAGCACUAUGAAUUCCACGAUUCUGGACUCAACUGACCCGUGGCUGGA